GGUGAAAGGUCUACUAACUAUCAGAACUUUCUUUAUUGAUUCCAAUAAGAUUAAUGAGGCCAAAUAUUGAACUAGGGAAUUGUAGGGCUUUACCCCGAAGGGAGCCCUUCCAGAAAUUCUCGAAGGCCCUAGACAAGCUUAGGCCUAGGAGGGGGUUUGGAAAUAGUUUUCAACCAGCAAUAGACGCGCCUCGGUUAAGACCUCAUUAGCUGCGUCAUUGCCCCAAGCGCAAAGAUACUU
rnacentral:sRNA from 1 species